rnacentral:lncRNA from 1 species
ACCUGUAGAUCCCGCCCGUAUCUACUGAAGAACUAAAGAACUGUGAACAAUCCAAUUGUCUUGGCUCAGCUGACAACACCUGGCAAGGUGGCAAGGUCCCAGAGGAGAAGGAGUCACAGGCUGUGUCAUACACACCAAAGCAAAGAAGAUCUUGGGCAGCUGUACAAGUGUCCCUCAGGGAGAGAGCCCUGUGUACCCAGAGGGCAUGGAAGCUUCAAGGAGAAUUCUUGAGCCAGUGGCUGUGAAAUGGGACAACCCAGCUGCAUCCUGCCUGAUGGUCCUCCCAAACCUGCAACUGCUGGGAGUGGGGUUAUCUCAGAGGCUAUCAGUGUGCGUACAUUAUGACCCUGGAGACACAUACAGUCUUAAGCAAAAAAGGCUGGGAAGCACUGAAUUGAGCAUGGUAGGGUUCAAAAUAGGAAGUUAACUUAUUUAUACCUCUUUUUAUUCUUUUAUUCUUUUUAAUUUUUGUGGGUACAUAUUAAGUGUAUAUAUUUAUGGAAUUCAUGAAAUAUUUUGAUAUAGGCAUAUAUAAUAGGUAAUAAUCCCAUCAGGGUAAAUCACAUCACCUCAUUUAUCCUUUCUUUUUUGUUACAAAUAAUCCAAUUAUACUCUUCUAGUUAUUUUUUAAAUGUACAAUAAAUUAUUGUUGACUAUGGUCACCCUGUUGUGUUAUCAAACACUAGAUAUUAUUUAUUCUAUCUAACUACAUUUUCAUACCCAUUAACAUCCCUACUUCCCCCCAACACACACACACCCUUUCCUGCCUCUGGUAACCAUCAUUCUACUCUUUAUCUUCAUGAGUCCAAUUGUUUUAAUUUUUGUUAGCUUCCACAAACAAGUGAGAACAUGCAAUGUUUAUCUUUCUGCACCUGGCUUAUUUCAC